UUGUGUCUUGUUUUGGGUUUCAUAUCACUCACUUCACUUGGUCUCUUGGAUCAGGAUCGAAGAAAUAUCGGUAUUGUAAGGCUUUUCGGUUUGCCAAGUGAACUGAUGAGUAAAGGAAAGCAUUUCAUAUUGAUAAGAAAUCCUCUUAAAAUACUGGCUUGGGGGAAUUAGUGUCGAUAUACAGUGAUCUCUGUCGGAUGGGAACACCAGCAGCAGUCAUCAAUGCGGAUGAGCUUCAGGUUUUGUUUCUGUAAUACGUAAAUUCUUUUUCUAUUACAUGUUAUGCCAUCCAUAUAUACAUGCAGGCUACACUAGACGGUCUUUGUGAUGAUUUGAAACUUGUGACCCUUUUUUCAUUCGCCAAGUAAGUCGAGCUUUUCUAUAGAGUUUUCCUCCAUUUGGUUAUUCAAUCUUUGGAUUAAUAGCUGUUGAAACUUAUUACUACUGGAUAUUUAUUUGGUUGCAACAUGAGCUGAAAUUCUUUUGAAAACAGGAAGGAGUACUUUGACACGAGUCACUUGGUUAACACAUUCAAAUAAGUUCCUUGAACCUUUUUUACUCAAUUAGUUUGUGUUCCUUUCACCUUUAUCACGUCUCUGAUGUUCAUUAUUGUUUCUUUUAACAGGUUUUAUUUUUUCAUCGCUCUAAAAAUGGUUCAGUUGAGGACUUAAACAUUCUGGAGAUGGAUGCGGUAGACAAGCUAAAUACUGACCAGUGUUCUCCAUAAUCAGGUAACUAAUAUAUGAUAUUAUGUUAAGAUUUUACAGGACACGAUAAGCAGUUUCCCUUUUGUGGUAAUGCUUUUUCUGCAAGUUCUUGUGGGUUUUAACACAGAAUAAUUUUUCGUUCCUACUUGGUUGACUCGAGCGACAACUUCCUUAUCUCUUUCUUCUGAUGGUCUUCCGGUCUCGUCUGUUUUUUGCUGAUAACUGUUUAGACUUUAGAGUAACUUUUACUUGAUUUAGAUUUUAGAUAGUUUCUCAGUGUGAAAAAUACUGUCAAGAAGGUACUAUAUUAUAUUUUUUCUUCUUCUUAUUACAUUGCAUCUUAUCACAAUUUUCUUACAUAGUAGAUGGUUGACUUCAUUAUUUCAACCAAAUAUAAUUUCUCCUCAUGUCCUGUUGCGUCUUUUUCAUAUUUUUUUCAUCAGUCACUUCACUUUGAUUCUCUUUUUUCAGUUGAUGGCUGAAGAGAUUGGAUUGGUGGUUCGUUUAUUGUUUCAGCAAAGCUGAGAUAGAAACAAAGUAAAGAUCAUAGAGUACCCUGUGCCAAGCCAAAUUUGUUCCAACGUUUCUCUCUCCCUUUACUUUGUUUUUUUUACACUAACAUAAAUUACAGUUAUCUACGUACAAAUAUUUUGACACCAUUUUUGUUUCACAGAAGGUUGGUGUUACUACAUCAAAACGGGCGUGUCAGCAACAUGUGAUUUCUUUGUCCUAUUUAUCUUGAUAACUCAGAUGUUGAAUCUAAACCGUUAUUCUUUUGUUGUAGAAAGAAAGAAGCUAGUGCGUAAUAGUGUUAAUGAUCUUGCUUCAAAAUAAGUAUUUUUAUGCGCAAGCACCUUGCCGGAUUUUGCUCUGCAUAUUCACCAUCUCUCUAGUGAAACUGGAGAUGUAUCAAUGGGGGAUAAAGUGACCUGCUAGGUUAACUAUGAGAGACGUAAACUCAUCGCUAACAAUCAGACAUGCACACAUAUGUUGAAUAUUUCCCUGAAGUUGAUAGAUGAAGAGAUAGGAUUGGUGGUUAAAGUUGACUGUUUCAGAAAAGCCGAAAGAGAAGCAAAGUAAGGAUCAAAGAGUGCACAAAGAAAUGAGCAAGGUGGUGUUAGUACAUUAACAUUGCACAAAACUGCGGUUCAGCAACAGCCAACAGAUGAUCCUUUUGAAUGUAUGUGGUUACCUGUUUUUCGUUUUUUGAUUGGAUAAGUUAGAUGUUGCAUCUAAUUUCUUGUUCUUUUGUAGUUGAAAGAAAGAAGCUAGUGCAUAUAGUGUUAAGGAUCUUGCUUCACAGAGAUCUUUUGCUCUGCAUAUUGGCCAUCUCUCUAGUGAACUGGAAAGUUUUAUUUGUUUGGUUGUGCUAUUGGUCUUAGUACUGUACAAAAGAGACGUGCAUAGGUUUUUCUGCAUGUUCUUGGUAAAUGCAAGUCAGGGUCUAUAUGUAUGAAUUAGUUUUCGAAGAGGUUUAAAAAGGUCAUCUUAUUUCAUGCCUUUAUCAAUAUAUGGUCGGAAUCAAUCUUGUGAUUUGAUAGCAUGUAGGGUGUGCUAGUAAUAGUUUUGGUGUCAUGUUACAGUUUCUAACAAUCUUGCAGUAAUUCUUUUACUAGUUUUUAUGUGUUACAUCUCUUGGUUAUAGGUUGUCGAUGAUUCUGGAUACAUAUAGAUUUUGAUGUUCCAAGAUAAGAAUUUUCAGGUUCCUUUUCUUGAGAGAGAUAAUGUUAAGUUGAAAGUUUUUUGUGAUUAGUUGGCCAAAGUGAUUGUAUAGAUCAGUUUUUUUUCGGCUCUUGAUUAUGUGGGUUCACUUCUUUGUGUUAGGUUCUCUUUAUUAUAGAGCGUUCAUGUUUUCGCUCUUGCUUUAGGUCGCUUAGGAGGAUGGGUUUGUGUUAGUUGGUUCCUUAACUCUCUUUGGUUGUUUAUGUCCUCGUAAAGGUGCUCCUAGAUUUUAAUUCUGUGUUACUUAAUUACUAGCAUAACUUCAAUUUUUUUUUUCAGGAGUUGGAAUCAUUGUGGUUUUCUGAAUAUAUUCUCCUCUAAGACUAAGUGGACUAGUUGAGUUCUUCGGUUGGCUAAAUGCAGAUAUGCAUGCAGUUUACUGAAAUAGGCUAUGAAGCAGAUAUCCAUUUCACUUACAAUGUAGAGGAAUCAUCAAAAGACUCUGAAGUUGUAUGUAUUAUGUCGAUCGAUGCUAUAAUGAAAAACCAACUUUUACUGUUUCGGUAGAAUGUGCUGCCAAAACUUGUGAAUUUUCAGGCUGAAAAGGGGAGCAUUUUGAUGCAUAUCACAUUGUAAAAUUGCAGUUUUACAUUUUUUUACUGAUGCGUGCGAGACUUUUUUGUGUGCAGGAUAUCUAACAAUUACAAAAUCAGAGAAUUGGAGUUUUGGCUUGUGUCUUGUUGUGGGUUUCAGAUCACUCACUUCACUUGGUCCCUUGGAUCAGGAUCAAAAUAAUACCGGUAUUGUAAGCAAUAUCUCAAAAUAGCGGCUUUUCGGUUUGCCAAGUGAACUGAUGAGUAAAGGAAAGCAUUUCAUAUUGAUACGAAAUCCUCUUCACAUACUGCCUUCCUUUGCGAAGGUACACCUUCCAUCGUUUCUCGAAUUAGGCCUAGGGGAACUAGUUUUGAUAUGUAGUAAUCUCUGUGAGAUGGGAACACCACCAGCACUCAUCGAUGCGGAUCAGCUUCAGCUAGAUCCCGAGACUAAACUACGCAGUCUUUGUGAUGAUUUGGAGAUUCCAUUUCAAGCCUCUAUGCUUUAAUGGGAAGUUGGUACUAUACCAGAUGGAAUAUGGGCACCAUGGUGGUACAAGAGUGUGCACGAAUCAACAGGUUUCUCAUCUCCAAAGAAGUAUCCUCGAAGAUUCCCAUUGUCACAUUAUGAUUUGCUGGAGCAAAGUCUAGUUCAACAUUUCAGGAGCCACGUGAAGCAAAUUCUCAGGGAUUCUCACGUGUUCUCCUUUUCCUUCAAUAGAGUGACUCGGUAUGUGAAGGACUUCGGAUUUACAAGGGAAAGAUAUUCAAGCUUGAGGAACAUCUAGAUCGGUCUAAACAGUCAAAUCUAGAAACGAAAAAGCAUAUAACAGAGUUUUCUAAGCAAUGUUGUUUUAUAUGUUGAAAUAUUGGUUAAGGCUGUUUGAUUCAGCAAAAUCUCUGGCUUUCAAAAUGUUCCAGCGUAUAAAGAGGUUAAAGAAGCAAUCUUCAGAUCUCUCAUAACCAAUGGUAUGUUUGACAAUACUCAUAUCAGGUUGUCUCUGACUCGAGGUGAAAAGGUAACUUCUGGAAUGAACCCUGCAUGUAAUCGAUAUGGAUGUACUCUUACGAUGCUUGCCCAAUGGAAGCCUCUGGUCUAUGACAAUGACAGUGGAAUUGUGCUGGUGACUGCAACCACGCGCCGAAACUCGCCAUUAUGCUUGACGGAGGAUGGACUCAAGGAGGAGGAAUUGGGAACGCUUGUGGUGGAGCGAAUCCUUAAGAAUUUCAAACCUAACAUGUUCGUAUAAGUUACUUACAUGUAAAUAAUUUCUGCGUUUUCGUAUUGCAGGUUGUUGUUACAUGUGAAAUAACCUCGAAGUUUUUCAUUGAUGAUGAUUUUGCUGAUGGAUAGAAUUAUUACUGCCAAGGGAGUGAUACUUGAUAAGGUUCUCUAUAUUUACUUAAUGUACACUCUGGAUUUGGCUCAUCUUUGUUUCUCGAGUAACCUUAACAAGGGUCUUCUUAGUUCUUAGUUCAGUUUUGUAGGGUUACAUGAGGCCGUUUUGUCACUUUGCUUGAGCAAAUUUCUUUGUAAAAUUUGUGACUUCAUGAUUUUUUUUCUGUUCUUCCCUUGAUGUCACUACUUGUGUAGAUAGUGUGGUAAGGAUAUUUUUUGCUGAUUUCUAUUAACUAACUGAUAUGGUUUCAGGUUUGAGUUUGGACAUGUUACUAUUUUUGAGCCUUUAAGCGUGUGGAAUAUCUUCGGGAAAAGAUCAACAACAAAACAAUCUCUUUAUAGACACUAAUUUGUGUCAAAGAACACUUAUCAUGCAAUUAGUUAUCUGAUCAAAUCUGGUUAUGUUUAUUAUUUGUUUACUUGGGCUAAGAAGGAUUGAACCAUUGUACAUGGAUUACAGACAGACAAUUGUGCAGGGUCUCCAGUCUCAUUUAGGUAGACAAUUCAAAAGCAGCGUGGAACUGUUUGCUAUGGUGAUGUACCUUCACUCAUCUUAUGUGUUAUCAGCAUACUAUGGUUUGACUUUCCUUUCUCUUCGUGUGCUUCUAUUUUUUUUUUAUAUUGGAUUUUUUAUUUUGACAUCGCUAAGGUAAAACUAGUUGAUUUCUUUCUAGGUGAGGAAUACCUGGUAACUUAUUCUAGCCAAGAGCUACGCAACCCGCGGGAUGAAAGUAUGAGUGCAUCUUUGUUUUUAUUCUUAAUUUCCAAUUUUUAUUUGUAUUUCAUGUAGAGAUAUAGGUCUUUGAUGUCUGUACUGGGAGGAUGAUUUUUUAGUUACUGGUGUUGCUGGUGGCUCAUAAAGGAAGUAUCCUCUAUUUUGCUAUUAUAUCCAUUUGUUGAUAUCUUGGAAACUUUUUCUAUAUAUGGACUGGUGUAAAAGAUGGGAAAUACUUUGUCAAGCUCAGCAAAGACACUAUGUAUGUCUCUGGUAUUGAGACUUUCCUCUUAAUAGACAAGAAAUCAAUGAAGGUAGUAGAUAAUGUUGUCGAAAGCAUGGGCACUGAAGGAAAUACAUGAGAAAUGGACAGCUUCCACCAAGUUGAUGGGUGAAGGUUCGUUGUAAACUUGCUCCUAUUUGGUCAUUAGCCUUUGUUUUUGGGAAGUCUACAUAUAUUGUUUUCUUUUGGCUUCACUUGAAACUACAUAGAAGAUUUUAGGGAUAUUCCAUAUUCGCAAUUUUUUUUCAAAAUGGAGAAUGUCUUGUAUCAUUUAGUUUUCAGUGUAAAGUUGGCUGUUAUGUCCCAGAUGCAGGUUUAGUGGCGGAAAUCAAAGAUAUCAGCCAGACAAAGCAUAAGGAGGACCCGCUUCAUUCCAUUUCACUAAGCCCUCUUUCACCUCAGAUGUGGAGUUCAGUUAUUGUUCUGUUUUUUCAUAUCUUGAAAUAUACCAGAAAUGCAUGUUAAAACAUUGCUGAUGGGUGAAGAGCAUCAAUAUUCUUACUGCAAUGAUUCAUGAGGAGUAGGCGUUGCUGAGUUGGAAGUACACACUUGGAUUAAUCCUGUCAGUUGUCAAAACCUCAUCAUGGAGUUUCCUCAGCUUGAUAGAAAAGCUAAUUCCCAUCACUCAAAUUUCAAAUCUAUCAAAAGAUAGCUUCUACCUGAUUGCAAUCAUCACACUAGGUUGUUUACAUGUGAAAUAACCUUGAAAUUUUGUAUGGAUGAUGAUUUUGCAAUGGGAUAGAAUUCGUCAAGGGAGCGAUAUUUGAUAAGGUUCUCUAUGAAUUUGGCUCAUCUUUGUUUUUGGAGUAACAUUAACAUGUGUCUUAGGUACAUUGUGUCUUCUUAGUACUUAAUUCAGUUUUGUCAGUGCACUUGAACAAAUCUCUUGAUUUCAGUACUUGUUUAGAUAGUGUGGUGAGGACUUUUUCCUCAAUAUAUUAUUCCCAUAAAAGUUCUACUUCGAUCUGAUUUAUAUUAACUAACUGAUAUGGUUUCAUACUUGAGUUGGACAUGUUACUAGGUUUUUCUGGAAGCGUGUGGAAUAUCUUCUGGAAAAGAUCAACAGCAACAACACAGUCUGUAGAGAGACCAAUUUGCGUCAAAGACACACUUUUCAGGCAAGUAUUCUUUUACCUGGGCUAAUAACCUUAUAUUUGACUACUCCAUAGAUUUUCUGAAGAAGAAUUCUCAUAUCGUUGUAA